rnacentral:rRNA from 1 species
UACGUAGGGUGCGAGCGUUAAUCGGAAUUACUGGGCGUAAAGCGUGCGCAGGCGGUUCGUUAAGUUCGUUGUGAAAGCCCCGGGCUCAACCUGGGAACUGCAAUGGAAACUGGCGGGCUUGAGUGUGGCAGGGGGGGGUGGAAUUCCGCGUGUAGCAGUGAAAUGCGUAGAGAUGCGGAGGAACACCGAUGGCGAAGGCAGCCCCCUGGGCCAAC